rnacentral:rRNA from 1 species
GAUGAACGCUGGCGGCGUGCCUAAUACAUGCAAGUCGAGCGAACGGACGAGAAGCUUGCUUCUCUGAUGUUAGCGGCGGACGGGUGAGUAACACGUGGAUAACCUACCUAUAAGACUGGGAUAACUUCGGGAAACCGGAGCUAAUACCGGAUAAUAUUUUGAACCGCAUGGUUCAAAAGUGAAAGACGGUCUUGCUGUCACUUAUAGAUGGAUCCUCGCUGCAUUAGCUAGUUGGUAAGGUAACGGCUUACCAAGGCAACGAUGCAUAGCCGACCUGAGAGGGUGAUCGGACACACUGGAACUGAGACACGGUACAGACUCCUACGGGAGGCAGCAGUAGGGAAUCUUCCGCAAUGGGCGAAAGCAUGACGGAGCAACGCCGCGUGAGUGAUGAAGGUCUUCGGAUCGUAAAACUCUGUUAUUAGGGAAGAACAUAUGUGUAAGUAACUGUGCACAUCUUGACGGUACCUAAUCAGAAAGCCACGGCUAACUACGUG